AACUAGUUAUUGUGACAAUAACAGUACGAAAGAGCAGCAUACAAGCAGUUUGGCUGUCUAGAAUCGUUCCUCGUAUCCUGCAGUACCUGCAGAGGAGAGCGGAGACUCACCUCCAUACAGCCCUUAUUUCACCCGAGUGAGGCUCGCUAAUAUUCUGAUGAACCAGGCCAAACAACUCCUGUUUUUUUACAGCAAUCCACAGCCCGAUGACAGCUGCGGCUCAUAAUGGGUACUUUGCAAGGCGGCCGUGUGCUCGCUCUAACAGACCAUUGGGGGGGGAGAGAUCACAGGGAUGCGUGCUGGCAGGAACUAGAGACGGGCCUAACCGAGGAUUUGAAUAACAGAAAAACAUGCUGCGGGUGAUGUCACCGUAACCUCAAGAUUAUACUGAAAAGAGGAUGACUGGGUGUUUCUAUUAAAAGGUCUUGUGUGAUCUGAUCUAGCCCUUUCAACAAUGCCAGGGAGUCCUAUUAAUAAGUGGGUCAAUGGCGCUAUUUUUAGUAGCCAUUGAGCACCGCUUUCUACAAACAAGCAAAGGCACAAAUUCUGAAUGAAACGUCCCCCGGCUACGCUGAACAAAUAUUCUGGGGAAAUGAAGGCAUUCGGCUUGCCGGUAAAUGGGGUGAACUAUUUAUCUGGUUUCAAAGUUCACCUUCCUCUGGAGAUAAAAAGCUGCGUGAGGGCAUGAAAUGACUGAGGCUGGGGCGUGGGGGGGAUUGUGCUUCGCCUCCUGGAUUGGCUUUGAUAAACUGGGGACUUUUAAGAUUUGUAGGGCUCUCUGUUCUAAAGUGGGCUCCUGUUUCAUCAUCUCCCCGUCCCGGGAACCUCGCGUGGCUACCUUGUUGUAAUUCCUCCUCAUUUUCUGGGUUUUCUCUCUCAUUUUGCCUUUGAUUCCCAGAGAAAGCAGUUGAAACGUGUUCGCUGCCUUCUCCUCCGUCAGAAGUGACACUGUGGGCGAUGAUGUGACGGAGGCGUACCAGAGACAACAUCCUCACAUUGCACCUCAUGCCGGAUUAAUGUUCCACAAUUGCACACAAAAGUUUGGCAACUAAACAACGCCUAAAGUGGCACAUGUAGAAACGGAGCUGUGCAGGAAAAACCCAUUUAAUCAGCAAGGAAGGGAAUGAACAAUAAAAAGUAAAUUAGGCAGGAUUCAGGAUUAUUCACUGUUAAUGACGGCGGGAGAUGCAGCGAAAUGCUGCACAUCUCUGCAAUCAAGCUAAAUAAAUCACAUGAGGCUGCGCACUGCCCCAACAAGCGGAGACAGAGAAUGUCAGUGGAGCAGAACGAGAUUUUGCGGCAGAGCAGAAAAUGCACUGUAUUCCUACAGGCAUUGCAUGACAAAUCUCUGGAUUUCUACUAAACAGAGGUGGAGCAUUGUCUGCAGGAAUUCCUGAAUGGCUGUUUCACCUCAGGCCCACCGCAGGCAAACUAAACAAAAGCACACCACGGCUCCUUUUGGCAUUCAACACUCAAGUUUUUACCUUAAGAUCUGGUGAAAAAUGUCAAUGAUGCUUAAAGGAAGCGUUGGCACUUUGCGUGGCGGGCUUUUGCAGGAGUGACUGUACGCUCCCCAAGCAGUUUGCUGACAUGCUGGUGACCCCUCAGCACCUGGAAGUGGGGGAGGGAACCGUGUAAAGCUCUUGGUUACCUUGAGGGAGAUCCGUGUAGCACCAGUUUGUGAGCAAAACCCUCUGCGUUACAAAACCUGCACUCCACCGGGUCAUGGUUGCAGAGGUUGUAUGUUUCAGGGAACCGUCUCACCUCGAGGGAAACGCCUGUGAUGUUUCGUUCAGCAAACCCUCAGAAUUCAGUCUGUAGAAGCCUAAACCCUAAAUAUUUCAAAUCGAGUUUGUCCAGGUUACGUAAUAUCAAAUGAGCACGACAGGACACCGAUGAGGCCCAAAAUAAACUGCCUUGCUCAAAGGCAGCAGUUAAGAAUAAAUGUGUUUCUUGCCACGCUUAAUUCAUCAGCUCUGAUUUGGCUUUCAUCCUCCUCCUGUUAGCGCAACAUACCGAAGCAGUCAUUUUCUGGCUACUUUUCAGUGGCACUCGGAGCUCAAGGCCAAAGUGCCCCUCGGAUGAGUCAGGGAAACAUCACAAUUUGCAACAAAUUAUGCGACGUCUGAUCGGUGUGAGUGAUCUUCUAUUGUGCGGUCCGGCCGAGUGGAAGCAGCAUCAGUGUGUCCGCGGUGACAGCUUGGAUGGGUAACGACGUCUGCCAGGAGGGCUUGUCUUCUCUACUGUCAGAGGUUGUUUGCUAUUAAGCAAGACGCAUACGGCGAGUCAAUAUAUGUUACACAUGUUGUAAUCACAUGUGUAGAACAUGGAUUUGCUCCCCUCUGGUCCCCUCUUGCCCUGCUGCUGUUGUCGCGUCAUCGCUGGAACAACACUGCCCCUUGGUGGCCGACUCGUCUCGCUCCCUGGACUAAACUCUGUCUCUGAUAUUUGAACUACAACUGAACUUAUAAGACUCACUCCAGGACCCGCGAGGGGAAACAACGCUUGAUGAAGGAAUCUGCAACUGCUUGUAUCGCCUCCCCUCCCGUUCUGCUGCUAUGAUUUAGUAUCAUGCGAAUAAAAACAUACCGUACGGACAA